rnacentral:lncRNA from 1 species
CGAAACUGCAAGGGAAACUGGGGGCAGCAGAGCGACCUGCGAACGUCUGGGGGAGGGACCCGGACACCCCGCCCUCCUCCCUGCAGAGCUCUGCUGGCCCUGUGGGAUCCAUGGAGACCCUGGCUCCGGUUUCACAGGAAGGGAAGAACGGUUCUUCUCAGGCCACUGAUUUGUGGAAGACAGCAGGCCAGCAGUCCCGUAGAAUGUUCCAGGCUGAGUGACUGCCUGUCCUGGAGGCCUCCUCAGAAGCCUCAUACCUGGCUCUCCGAUGGAGCCCACGGCUCUUCUGUUCUUCCUCCCUGUGGUUCCUGGGCCUGGAGUGCGGGCUGGACAGGGCAAGGCCUGAAUUGUGUUCAUUAAGAGCAAGAAGAUAAACUCACGGUUACCACAGGGAUGUUCUGUUUGUGCCCCUGCUAGGGGCUUGCUUGGCUUUCAAAACCUUUCAUGUGCCCCGAAUGCUACAAACCCUUGUAAUAAAUGCAAAGUGUAUAUAGCUUCUGCUACUUAUGAGAGGCAUCGAGGGAGUUAAGCACGGUGGCUUUUGUGUCUGCAGAUUUGAGCUGAAAUUCCAGUUCUGCAGCAUAGGGCUUAACAGGUUCACUCCCCUUCCCCAUCCUCUCAUCCCCUAGGGCUCUCUCUUCCUUCCACCUGGAUAGAUGCCCUUCUCAUCUUCACACAGCAGAACACUGCUUGUUCUGAGAGCUCGCUCUGCUGAUUCUUUUUCCAUGAGUCAGAAAGCCCACUUCGCUUAUAGGAGGAGAACAUGGAUUUAAAAUCAGACAACUCUGGGUUCAUCCCGUCCUUUUCCUAGCUAGACAAUGGUUGGAGCUUCUCAGUUUCCUUGGGAAAAAAAGGGAUAAUGAUAUUCCUACCUUUUAAGGUUAUUGCAGACAUUAGGAAAAUAGAAACAGAAAGUUAUUUGUAGAGAUUUGAUGAGUAGCAAGUGCUCAGUAAUAAUGAGGCAAUUCUUGACUGUGUCUGAGUGAGUCUGUGAGUGCAUAUGAGUGUGUGAGAGAGAAUGUGUGUACAUGAGUGUCAUGCAUGCUCACACAUGUGUCUGGUGAAGGGCAGAUAUUCAUAUAGCUGCUCAGGUUGGUGGAAAUAAUUUCUUUUUAGUCUUAUUCUAUCGUUCCUCCCAGGACUGAGUUUCUGGCCUGUCUCACUUUUGAUGUGUAAUAUUGCUGGUGGUUAAGAGUGCCUUCUCUCUCCCCCACUCUACAGAUAUUCAGAAGUAACUGUGAAGUAAUUGUGAAUGGGAUCCAUGUCUAUUUGGUAUGUUUCUCUCCUGAGCAUCUGUUGCCAGUGUAAUUUCAUGACAAUCAUCAAUAUGUAUUGAAUAAAACAAUGGGUAUGUGAGUGGCUGCAGUAUCCCCAAGUCAUUUUGAACUGUGAUUUUUACAUGCCAAGGCCAUCGUUUGAAAAUAUUUAUGUGU